GAUGAACGCUGGCGGCGUGCCUAAUACAUGCAAGUCGAGCGAACAGACGAGGGGCUUUCUCCUCUGACGUUAGCGGCGGACGGGUGAUUAACACGUGGAUAACCUACCUAUAAGACUGGUAUAACUUCGGGAAACCUGAGCUAAUACCGGAUAAUAUAUUGAACCUCAUGGUUCAAUAGUGAAAUACGGUUUUUCUGUCACUUAUAGAUGGAUCCGCGCCGCAUUAGCUAGUUGGUAAGGUAACGGCUUACCAAGGCAACGAUGCGUAGCCGACCUGAGAGGGUGAUCGGCCACACUGGAACUGAGACACGGUCCAGACUCCUACGGGAGGCAGCAGUAGGGAAUCUUACGCAAUGGGCGAAAGCAUGACGGAGCAAAGCCGCGUGAGUGAUGAAGGUCUUCGGAUCGUAAAACUCUGUUAUUAGGGAAGAACAAAUGUGUAAGUAACUAUGCACGUCUUGACGGUACCUAAUCAGAAAGCCACGGCUAACUACGUG
rnacentral:rRNA from 1 species